UAACACAUGCAAGUCGAACGGCAGCACAGAAGAGCUUGCUCUUUANGUGGCGAGUGGCGGACGGGUGAGUAAUGUCUGGGAAACUGCCCGAUGGAGGGGGAUAACUACUGGAAACGGUAGCUAAUACCGCAUAACGUCGCAAGACCAAAGUGGGGGACCUUCGGGCCUCACACCAUCGGAUGUGCCCAGAUGGGAUUAGCUAGUAGGUGGGGUAAUGGCUCACCUAGGCGACGAUCCCUAGCUGGUCUGAGAGGAUGACCAGCCACACUGGAACUGAGACACGGUCCAGACUCCUACGGGAGGCAGCAGUGGGGAAUAUUGCACAAUGGGCGCAAGCC
rnacentral:rRNA from 1 species